UACGUAGGGGGCGAGCGUUGUCCGGAUUCAUUGGGCGUAAAGAGCUCGUAGGCGGCUUGGCAAGUCGGAUGUGAAAACUCCAGGCUCAACCUGGAGCCGCCAUUCGAUACUGCUAUGGCUAGAGUCCGGUAGGGGAGUGUGGAAUUCCCGGUGUAGCGGUGAAAUGCGCAGAUAUCGAGAGGAACACCUGCGGCGAAGGCGGGUUGCUGGGCUGAUACUGACGCUGAGGCGCGAAAGCCAGGGGAGCGAACGGG
rnacentral:rRNA from 1 species